rnacentral:rRNA from 1 species
AACGAACGCUGGCGGCAGGCUUAACACAUGCAAGUCGAGCGAGACCUUCGGGUCUAGCGGCGGACGGGUGAGUAACGCGUGGGAACGUGCCCUUCUCUACGGAAUAGCCCCGGGAAACUGGGAGUAAUACCGUAUACGCCCUUUGGGGGAAAGAUUUAUCGGAGAAGGAUCGGCCCGCGUUGGAUUAGGUAGUUGGUGGGGUAAUGGCCCACCAAGCCGACGAUCCAUAGCUGGUUUGAGAGGAUGAUCAGCCACACUGGGACUGAGACACGGCCCAGACUCCUACGGGAGGCAAGCAGUGGGGAAUUCUUAGACAAUGGGGGCAAACCCUGAUUCUAGC